ACAUGCAGUCGAGCGGACAGAUGGGAGCUUGCUCCCUGAUGUUAGCGGCGGACGGGUGAGUAACACGUGGGUAACCUGCCUGUAAGACUGGGAUAACUCCGGGAAACCGGGGCUAAUACCGGAUGGUUGUUUGAACCGCAUGGUUCAGACAUAAAAGGUGGCUUCGGCUACCACUUACAGAUGGACCCGCGGCGCAUUAGCUAGUUGGUGAGGUAACGGCUCACCAAGGCGACGAUGCGUAGCCGACCUGAGAGGGUGAUCGGCCACACUGGGACUGAGACACGGCCCAGACUCCUACGGGAGGCAGCAGUAGGGAAUCUUCCGCAAUGGACGAAAGUCUGACGGAGCAACGCCGCGUGAGUGAUGAAGGUUUUCGGAUCGUAAAGCUCUGUUGUUAGGGAAGAACAAGUGCCGUUCAAAUAGGGCGGCACCUUGACGGUACCUAACCAGAAAGCCACGGCUAACUACGUGCCAGCAGCCGCGGUAAUACGUAGGUGGCAAGCGUUGUCCGGAAUUAUUGGGCGUAAAGGGCUCGCAGGCGGUUUCUUAAGUCUGAUGUGAAAGCCCCCGGCUCAACCGGGGAGGGUCAUUGGAAACUGGGGAACUUGAGUGCAGAAGAGGAGAGUGGAAUUCCACGUGUAGCGGUGAAAUGCGUAGAGAUGUGGAGGAACACCAGUGGCGAAAGCGACUCUCUGGUCUGUAACUGACGCUGAGGAGCGAAAGCGUGGGGAGCGAACAGGAUUAGAUACCCUGGUAGUCCACGCCGUAACGAUGAGUGCUAAGUGUUAAGGGGGUUUCCGCCCCUUAGUGCUGCAGCUACGCAUAAGCACUCCGCCUGGGGAGUACGGUCGCAGACUGAAACUCAAGGAAUUGACGGGGCCCGCAACAAGCGUGGAAGCAUGUG
rnacentral:rRNA from 2 species